rnacentral:rRNA from 1 species
GGGUGAGUAACACGUGAGUAACCUGCCCCAGGCUUUGGGAUAACCCCGGGAAACCGGGGCUAAUACCGGAUAUGACUGGCUGCCGCAUGGUGGUUGGUGGAAAGAUUUUUCGGCUUGGGAUGGACUCGCGGCCUAUCAGCUUGUUGGUGGGGUAAUGGCCUACCAAGGCGGCGACGGGUAGCCGGCCUGAGAGGGCGACCGGCCACACUGGGACUGAGACACGGCCCAGACUCCUACGGGAGGCAGCAGUGGGGAAUCUUGCACAAUGGGCGGAAGCCUGAUGCAGCGACGCCGCGUGAGGGAUGACGGCCUUCGGGUUGUAAACCUCUUUCAGCAGGGACGAAGCGUUUGUGACGGUACCUGCAGAAGAAGCGCCGGCCAACUACGUGCCAGCAGCCGCGGUAAGACGUAGGGCGCGAGCGUUGUCCGGAUUUAUUGGGCGUAAAGAGCUCGUAGGCGGCUUGUCGCGUCGACUGUGAAAACCCGUGGCUCAACUUCGGGCUUGCAGUCGAUACGGGCAGGCUAGAGUUCGGUAGGGGAGACUGGAAUUCCUGGUGUAGCGGUGAAAUGCGCAGAUAUCAGGAGGAACACCGGUGGCGAAGGCGGGUCUCUGGGCCGAUACUGACGCUGAGGAGCGAAAGCGUGGGGAGCGAACAGGAUUAGAUACCCUGGUAGUCCACGCUGUAAACGUUGGGCGCUAGGUGUGGGGGGCCUCUCCGGUUCUCUGUGCCGCA